GCAAGUCGAACGGUAACAGGCAAAGCUUGCUUUGCGCUGACGAGUGGCGGACGGGUGAGUAACGCGUAGAUAUCUGCCUAGUAGUGGGGGAUAGCCCGGAGAAAUCCGGAUUAAUACCGCAUACGCCCUACGGGGGAAAGAAGGCCUCUUCUUGAAAGCUUUCACUAUUAGAUGAGUCUGCGUCGGAUUAGCUUGUUGGUGAGGUAAGAGCUCACCUAGGCGACGAUCUCUAGCUGGUUUGAGAGGAUGAUC
rnacentral:rRNA from 1 species